CCUACGGGUGGCAGCAGUGAGGAAUAUUGGUCACUGGACGAGAGUCUGAACCAGCCAAGUAGCGUGAAGGAUGACUGCCCUAUGGGUUGUCAACUUCUUUUAUCAAGGAAUCAAACGAGGCACGUGUGCCUUUUUGCAUGUACUUUAUGAAUAAGGAUCGGCUAACUCCGUGCCAGCAGCCGCGGUAAUACGGCGGAUACGCGCGUUAUCCGGAUUUAUUUGGUUUAAAGGGAGCGUAGAUGGGUUGUUAAGUCAUUUGUGAAAGUUUGCGGCUCAACCGUAAAAUUGCAAUGGAUACUGGCAGUCUGGAGUACAGUUGAGGUAGGCGGAAUUCGUGGUGUAGCGGUGAAAUGCUUAGAUAUCACGAAGAACCCCGAUUGCGAAGGCAGCUUACUAAACUGUGACUGACAUUGAUGCUCGAAAGUGUGGGUAUCAAACAGGAUUAGAUACCCCAGUAGUC
rnacentral:rRNA from 1 species